AAUGACAAGUGCAAAUGUAAACAACAAAAGUCAGAAAUGGAUCCUGAAUAAGAAGAAGAUGUUGUGUUAAAUCUGUGGACAGCAAAAGACACUGAUUGCCUGGUGUUUUAACAGGCCCAAUAUGUUUAAUAUUUGGGUUCAGAUUCUUAAGCCUUAAAACCAUGAAAAUUUCUGCAAUAAACAAUUCUAUGCAUGUGAAAAUUAUGGCAUCUGGUUUAAGGAUCUUAAACCAGAUGCCAUACCUUCGGUUAAUCUCCCAGCCUCAAUACAAGAUCACGAUUAAAGAACGGACCACUUUUGAUCACAUAGAGAAGCAGUCAGUAACAGAAUAUGCUGAUGGAUUAAAAGUUUAAAACUGCAUCCAAGUCUUUAGUAAUAUCAUAGAAUCCUAGGUGGACAAGACGGAAAAAUGGGACAUUGAAUUCCAAAAUAAAUGGCCCAAUGAAGCUCAAUAUGAAGCAGAAUUCAUCUUGUUUCUGUAUACUUUUUGACAGCCUCAAUGUCAAAACUUACUUAAAAUGUGAUGUCAAACCUGAAAGAAGAGGAUCUUAUUUCAGGUUUGAGGAGGAAUUGGAUCUUAUACAAAUCUUGGUCAGAUAUUUUUAAAGACAACUAGAAAAAUGAUCAAUGUUCACUGACCAAGAUAAUUACCGUCAUUAAAUCUAAUGCUUCAGGACCGGACAAUAUUACUCCUUCAAUGGUAAAGAUGUGUUUAU